GAGACUCUACUGCAGGAAAGUCCUGUUCUCUGUCCAGGCAGCAGCCUUGAUAAGCCAAAGGGCACAGAGUACUUUCUCAUGCGGGAUUAUAGAGGGGCUUCCCAUAGGUUAAGGUGGCCUACUGGACAUUUGACCGUGCAGUUACAAAGAACCUAGAAGCAGAAGGAAGAGGUCACUGAGAUGUUGCCUGAUGCUCAUGUUCAAAACAGUAACAGGACAAUGCCAUUUGGCAGGCCUGUGGGUGUCUAGCUGCCUUGUAUGUGGCCUGUAGCCAGCUCGCGGAGACCAUCGAGGAUACAGGUACUAUUCCGCUGGAGGUAUGUGAACAGUUCCAGACAGACAUGGGCAAGAAGAUUCUCAGCAAUCUGAGAAAACCUGAGGACCACUGAGUCCAUUUCCACGAGAAUGCCGCCUCCUAAGUGGAGUUUGAUGGGCUAAUGGAGUAACCACACUAGCAGUGGACAUACACUUAAUCUCUGUGUCCACUGCCAUCCCUGGACACCUCAUUUGUAGAUGGCACUUGCAGCGCCCUGGCAGCCCAGAGUUACAGUGGAAUCACCCAUGCGUGGGAAUUCACUCAAAAGCAACAUUAGAUAGAAAGCAAAAAAGAGGGCCUACCUGGUGGCUCAAGGGGUUAAGACGCAACCUAUGAAGCUACCUGCAGCCACUGCAGCACUAGUUCAAUCCCUGGCCAGGGAGCUACCCACAUGGUGCAGCAGACCUCUCCUGACUCGCCCACUGCUCCCCUCAGCAGUAUAUUUAGUGGGAGGAUUCUACAUUAUACAGAGCCCUACAACUGAUGAAAUCAAUCUCUGGAAACUCUGGAGAGGCGCUUGCAUGCCAUCGAGGGCGGCGUCACGGGGGGACGCUAGCAGCCCCAGCCAGCAGCAGCAGAACCUGAAGGAGAAGCCGAAGCAGAAGCAGAGAACGCCAGAGAGCCCAGAUAGAGUGAAGACUUGCUGGGGGCUGGGAGGCCUGCCAGCCUCCCAGUCCCCCAGCCAGCACCCCUGCCUGCCAUAUGCCUGGUGAACCCCAAAUAAAAGACCUGCAAAACCACUGAGGACUCUGACUCCUCCUUUACCCGGUCUGCAUGGGAUCAGAAAACCUGCACCUGUGCCCAGUCCUGCCUCUACAAUUGGCGUAAGUCGGCAAGAUCCAUGCAGACAGGUAUUGGAGCCCUCCGAAGACCUGGAGGGACUAAGGAGUAAAAGACUGCCUGUGACGACGCUGGAGGCGCCAUGGCGGUACAGAAGAUGGAUACGUCCACGAGCUACAGGAUGAGACCUGGCGUGAAGGAGACGCCCGAAAGGACCAGCCAACGACACCGGAAAGGACCAGCCAACGACACCGGAUAGGACCAGCCAACGACACCGGAAAGGACCAGCCAAUGACCCCUGAGGCAGCAGGCCAUUGCUGAAGCAGGGAGAGGCCAAUGGACUGAUAGACUGAUGAACUGAUGAUUUUGGACUGACAAUCCUGCCAGAAGGCGGAGGACCUUAGCAGGUUAUGUUUAUUUUUUGAGAAUCUGGGGGUGGCCAGUGGGCCUAGAUGGCCAAAAGCAGCCUGUGUAUGCCCAGUGGCCAGGUGGAGGAGAAAAGCCAACUGAGAAAGCAAAAGCUGGUACUGAUGAUAAGUUGAGAAGCCCUGAGCGGCUGUUAAGCAGCCUGGGUAUGCUGAAGAACUGUGAGUCUCGUAAAAUCACCUGUGGGUGAUGCCCUGCUCAUUCUUGAGUGAGGGUGAGGAGCUGAGGAGCCCGUCCUUGGGGGACG